CAGGUAGAAGAAUGUCUGCGACUAAGCCGAGGGCCACUUGAGGAUUGGGUUGUUGAUGGUAAAACAGGUAGAAGAAUGUCUGCGACUAAGCCGAGGGCCACUUGAGGAUUGGGUUGUUGAUGGUAAAACAGGUAGAAGAAUGUCUGCGACUAAGCCGAGGGCCACUUGAGGAUUGGGUUGUUGAUGGUAAAACAGGUAGAAGAAUGUCUGCGACUAAGCCGAGGGCCACUUGAGGAUUGGGUUGUUGAUGGUAAAACAGGUAAAAGAAUGUCUGCGACUAAGCCGAGGGCCACUUGAGGAUUGGGUUGUUGAUGGUAAAACAGGUAAUAAUACUAAUUUAUUAUCAUGUACACAGGCAAAUAAGCAUAUUUAUGAUGCUUAAGGUGUGAAAUACUGUCCUAAUCAGUUUUGUGGUCACUCAAACUCUUGCCGUCGUGCAAUUCCCAUGCAG